CCCUACGGGGCGCAGCAGGCGCGAAAACUCCGCAAUGCUCGAAGGAGUGACGGGGAGAUUCCAAGUGCCUACGCUUAGCGUAGGCUGUUCAGAUGCCUAAAAAGCAUUUGGAGUAAGGACUGGGUAAGACGGGUGCCAGCCGCCGCGGUAAUACCCGCAGUUCGAGUGGUAGUCGAUUUUAUUGGGCCUAAAGCGUCCGUAUCCGGUCUGGUAAAUGCCUGGGUAAAUCGUUUGGCUCAACCACACGAAUUCCGGGUAGACUGUCAGACUUGGGACCGGUUGGGGGAGAGGGUACUUCAGGGGUAGGAGUGAAAUCCUGUAAUCCUUGAAGGACCACCAGUGGCGAAGGCGCUCUUCCAGGACGGGUCCGACGGUGAGGGACGAAAGCCAGGGGAGCGAACCGGAUUAGAUACCCGGGUAGUCCUGGCCGUAAACGAUGUGGGCUUUGCAUUGGGGGUUCUACGAGGGCGCCCAGUGCAGAAGCGAAGGCGUUAAGCCCACCGCCUGGGAAGUAUGGUCGCAAGGCUGAAACUUAAAGGAAUUGGCGGGGGAGCAC
rnacentral:rRNA from 1 species